UAUACCUUUCGUGUUCCCAAAAAUGGAUGGGUUGCUAUCAGGUUUCUAGCAAAUAAUCCAGGUGUAUGGAUGCGGCAUUGUCACGUGAUUCGUCAUCUUACCUGGGGUAUGGUAACCGCUUUUAUCGUGAGAGAUGGUGGCACUCCUGAGACAAGUAUGCUCGAUCCCCCCCCUUCCAUGCCUUCUUGUGGAAGUCCAUUUCGUAAUUAUAUCCAUGAGUUC